GAAGUCAGCCAGACAGUCGCUCUUUUUCAGUUGGUUUUUCCAGCUGCAAAUUGGGAGGAAAGUCCGGGCUCCACAGGGUAAGGUGCCAGGUAACGCCUGGGCGGCGCGAGCCGACGGAAAGUGCAGCAGAAAGUAAACCGCCUAAGCCAGUUCACUGGCCGGUAAGGGUGAAAUGGUGCGGUAAGAGCGCACCGCGCGACUGGUAACAGUUCGUGGCGAUGGAAAACCCCACCUGGAGCAAGACCAAAUAGGGAUCCAUUGGCGUGACCCGCGCUGGAUCCGGGUAGGUUGCUAGAGGCGUGUGGUGACAUGCGCCCCAGAGGAAUGACUGUCCACGACAGAACCCGGCUUAUCGGCUGACUUUACAU
rnacentral:RNase_P_RNA from 1 species